GAUUGGUGCCUUCGGGAACUCUGACACAGGUGCUGCAUGGCUGUCGUCAGCUCGUGUYKUGAGAUGUUGGGUUAAGUCCCGUAACGAGCGCAACCCUUGUCCUUAGUUACCAGCACGUUAUGGUGGGCACUCUAAGGAGACUGCCGGUGACAAACCGGAGGAAGGUGGGGAUGACGUCAAGUCAUCAUGGCCCUUACGGCCUGGGCUACACACGUGCUACAAUGGUCGGUACAGAGGGUUGCCAAGCCGCGAGGUGGAGCUAAUCUCACAAAACCGAUCGUAGUCCGGAUCGCAGUCUGCAACUCGACUGCGUGAAGUCGGAAUCGCUAGUAAUCGCGAAUCAGAAUGUCGCGGUGAAUACGUUCCCGGGUCUUGUACACACCGA
rnacentral:rRNA from 1 species